ACACGUAGCCUCUCUAUGACUCGCGACAUGACAAAUUGAAUGACUUUGCUACAGUUUAAUUAAUUGCAAAAUACCUCAUAUUGCAUGUUUAUUGGGUUGUGUAAUUAGUAAUCUAAAUGUCCCAGGUGUUUGGCUACUACGGCUCUACCGCUUUCCGACCGUUUCCAACCGAGGAGGGCGAUCUGACGUUAAGCCGAGCUCUGUGUACCCGGGGUUUACAUCGCCACUCAUUCACCCACAGACAGCCUCAUAUUAUACGUACGUCAGACGUACACCGAUGGAGCUGCAUGGCGGUAGAGUUAUGUCCAGGUCUGUAGCAACCUGCCCACUUCACAAACUGCAGCGGGAGUGUACGUCUCGGCUGAUCCGACAGCAUUAAAGAUCGUGGAGCCCUGAGGUGCUCCGAGAGUUACAGCCCCGUACUACGCAGUAUCAGAUCCGUACUACGGUCCAUAUGACUCGCCUACAGACGCGACCACGUCGGGGAACACAGACAGACAGCUCCGCACUCUGCGACACCUGUCCGAGGUCCAGGCCAAGGGGGAUCCGGAACAGAAGAGCUAUGAUAGCAGAUAGCUCGUCCAGCGACUCAGCUCUCACAUGCCGCUCACAUACCCUCUUUAAGUGGUGUUAUUAGAAUUUAAGUGGUGUUAUUAAGAUGCCGACGGUAGCCACGGUCCAACUGGUUUCUAGUUAACCAACCUGUCUUUCUGUCUGUUUUUCUAACUCUGGAAGGCUUGAAUCAAGGAAUGGGCAGAGUGGACCCCCCGAAACGGUCUAGUUUUCCAGCACUGUGUUCUGCUGUUGUUUCCGACCAAAACGACAGUUGGUGACUAUAUCAUCCAGAUGACUUCAUCCUGUCCUUGCUCUGGUCUUCGGUUAGGACCGCGGACCGGGAAAGAAUAAUCAGCGCGUGCCGCUCUGCUCCGUAGAGUUGCAGCCCGCCGCCUAGACACUCCCGGCUGAAGAAUACAGGCUUGCGCGGAUUGGUUGCUUGUGAAGCACAACUCCAGACCCACGCAGCGCUGCGCCGUGUACCGGAUCCUACUGGCGUGUGAAUGAAAAGCAGCUCCACUUUGAGAUCCUCUCUCGGUGGCGAUGUGGAGCCACGAGCUGCAGGCAGUUGGAAAAAAGAGCAAAGAUCAGAUUUCAAGCUUCGAGUGUCGCCUGCCAGCCCGCUCGAGGCAUUCAGGAGAGUAGCAAGUGGGGAAUGUUUGGGGGAGAGUUAGGGAGGAGGAAGGCGCCUCCCACCAUCUCUUGUAGAAUAUUCAACUGUCAUUUAUUGGACUGUCUGUCUUUCCCACUGUGAUCUUAUGGAAACUGAGAAAUAUAAAAUUAAUACUACAUUAUUAACUUUUCAAUAAACAUAGACCGAUAUUUACUGUAACUGCGGGUAUGCCUACUCUAUGACGUGUUUACAUGCCUAUUAGCUGCCUAGCCAUCUUUACCUAUACUAUUGCUACCUAUUGCCAAAUAGGUUAAAAAAUAAUACAGCCACUGUAAAUAACGUUGCAUGUUUCAGAAUCGUAUUCACUUUGGAUGAAUUGUUAUUGUCCUCACAAGGUGAAUAGAUUAAUAUAUGAUGUCUGAUAAUACAUACAUGGAUACAAACCCAUGUAUAAAAGACUUCGAAACCAGUUCACUGCUGUUUUUUCCCCAUUCCCUCGAACCACGGACUAUUUAGACCUGUGACACCUGGUAGCCUAUAAUAAAAUACGCAACCCCAGCAAUGUGUUUAAAGGCCGGUGAGUGAUUGUUUCCCACCUUUUACACGACAGUUAACUGUAUUUGACUAUAUUGUCUAGAGAUCUGUAUUUUAAAACAGAUUACUGUAUUCUCUGACUAGAACAAUCCUCUAAAACAGAUUUACUAAUAUUUCCUUGAGACCAGUCACCCAAAAUAGAUUAAAUGUGUUCUCUAAAAGAAUCAGUCCUCUAAAACAGAUUUAAAGCAACCAUUACGUUUCUUGUUUUAAAGUAGCUACGCUUUAAACGUCUCCAUUAUUUCAGAAACAAGCAUUUCACUACACCAUCGACAACAUCUACUACAACGUAAACGUGACUAAACCUGAAAUUAUAGACCUAUUAUAGACCGAUCAGUCUCAAUUUAUUGUAGCCUAUAAACCAAUCAGUACUCCAAAACAGAUUUACUGUAGCAUAUUGACCAGUCACGAAAUGCCGAAGAAGCAGCUUUAAACAACGUGUGAAUUCGUGUAAUCCACUAACUGUGCCAUUUUAUGGUACCAUAAACUACAGAUAGCACCUUUAAAUGAGUCCCUCGGUAAGGGACUGGCUGACUGGGGUCAGAGUGAGGUGUAGGGUUAGGUGCCUGGGGUGGGCUGGCUAUAUGAUGACUAUCCAUCUGUAUUUGUCAGCAAGGUUGUCAGUCGGGUGUCAUUUUAACUCCUUGGUGUGACAAUCCACAUUAACGCGUCAUAAAUAAUAUAGAAUCAAACAAGCAAUCCGAAUGAACACACCAUUAAUUGAAUAGAAAAGUUUGAAUGUGAAAAUGUAAUAUGGGUA